GACGAACGCUGGCGGCGUGCUUAACACAUGCAAGUCGAACGGAAAGGCCCUGCUUUUGUGGGGUGCUCGAGUGGCGAAAGGGUGAGUAACACGUGAGUAACCUGCCCUUGACUUUGGGAUAACUUCAGGAAACUGGGGCUAAUACCGGAUAGGAGUUCCUGCUGCAUGGUGGGGGUUGGAAAGUUUCGGCGGUUGGGGAUGGACUCGCGGCUUAUCAGCUUGUUGGUGGGGUAGUGGCUUACCAAGGCUUUGACGGGUAGCCGGCCUGAGAGGGUGACCGGCCACAUUGGGACUGAGAUACGGCCCAGACUCCUACGAGGCAGCAGUGGGGAAUAUUGCACAAUGGGCGGAAGCCUGAUGCAGCAACGCCGCGUGCGGGAUGACGGCCUUCGGGUUGUAAACCGCUUUCGCCUGUGACGAAGCGUGAGUGACGGUAAUGGGUAAAGAAGCACCGGCUAACUACGUG
rnacentral:rRNA from 1 species